rnacentral:rRNA from 1 species
AUUGAACGCUGGCGGCAUGCCUUACACAUGCAAGUCGAACGGCAGCACGGGUGCUUGCACCUGGUGGCGAGUGGCGAACGGGUGAGUAAUACAUCGGAACGUACCUUAUCGUGGGGGAUAACGCAGCGAAAGCUGUGCUAAUACCGCAUACGCCCUGAGGGGGAAAGCGGGGGAUCGCGAGACCUCGCGCGAUUCGAGCGGCCGAUGCCUGAUUAGCUUGUUGGUGGGGUAAAAGCCCACCAAGGCGACGAUCAGUAGCUGGUCUGAGAGGACGAUCAGCCACACUGGGACUGAGACACGGCCCAGACUCCUACGGGAGGCAGCAGUGGGGAAUUUUGGACAAUGGGGGCAACCCUGAUCCAGCAAUGCCGCGUGAGUGAAGAAGGCCUUCGGGUUGUAAAGCUCUUUUGUCAGGGAAGAAACACCGGCUCUAACACAGUCUGGGAAUGACGGUACCUGAAGAAUAAGCACCGGCUAACUACGUGCCAGCCGCCGCGGUAA